rnacentral:rRNA from 1 species
GGAAUCUUCGGCAAUGGACGAAAGUCUGACCGAGCAACGCUGCGUGAGUGAAGAAGGUUUUCGGAUCGUAAAACUCUGUUGUUAGAGAAGAACAAGGGUGAGAGUAACUGUUCACCCCUUGACGGUAUCUAACCAGAAAGCCACGGCUAACUACGUGCCAG